rnacentral:tRNA from 1 species
AGCGGGUUAGUUUAAUAGGCAAAACGUCGGAAUUUGACUCCGAAGUCUGUAGGGUUCGAAUCCCUCACCCGCCGCCA